rnacentral:ncRNA from 1 species
UCCUUAUCAAGAGUCGGGGGAGGAACCUGGUCCGAUGAACCCGCGGCAACCAUUACUUGCCCAAAGUAAACGGUGCCAAUUCCAGCAGACUGUGAAGGUCUGAAAGAUGAGGA